GGGGGUAUGGCGCAAUUGGUAGCGCACCGGUCUCCAAAACCGAAGGUUCGAGGUUUGAAACCUCGUGCCCCCGCCA
rnacentral:tRNA from 7 species